rnacentral:rRNA from 1 species
GUACGGCGAGUGAACCGGGAAGAGCUCAAAUUUGAAAUCUGGCGUGCUCAGUGCGUCCGAGUUGUAAUCUAUAGAGGCGUUUUCCGUGCCGGACUGUGUCUAAGUCCCUUGGAACAGGGUAUCAAAGAGGGUGAUAAUCCCGUACUUGACACAAUGACCGGUGCUCUGUGAUACGUCUUCUACGAGUCGAGUUGUUUGGGAAUGCAGCUCAAAAUGGGUGGUGAGUUCCAUCUAAAGCUAAAUAUUGGCGAGAGACCGAUAGCGAACAAGUACCGUGAGGGAAAGAUGAAAAGCACUUUGGAAAGAGAGUUAAACAGUACGUGAAAUUGUUGAAAGGGAAACGAUUGAAGUCAGUCGUGACUGAGAGGCUCAGCCGGUUCUGCCGGUGUAUUCCCCUCAGUCGGGUCAACAUCAGUUUUGUUCGGUGGAUAAGGGCAGCUGGAAGGUGGCACCUCCGGGUGUGUUAUAGCCAGCUGUCGCAUACAUCGAAUGAGACUGAGGAAUGCAGCUCGCCUUUAUGGCCGGGGUUCGCCCACGUCCGAGCUUAGGAUGUUGACAUAAUGGCUUUAAACGACCCGUCUUGA